GUACACACCGCCCGUCACACCAUGGGAGUUGGUCUUACCCUAAGACGGUGCGCUAACCGCAAGGAGGGCGCUGACCACGGUGUGGUCAAUGACUGGGGUGAAGUCGUAACAAGGUAGCCGUAGGUGAACCUGCAGAAGGAUCA
rnacentral:rRNA from 1 species